UACGGAGGGUGCAAGCGUUGCUCGGAAUUAUUGGGCGUAAAGGGCAGGUAGGUGGUCUCGUUUGUCUGGGGUGAAAGCCUUGAGCUUAACUCAAGAAGUGCCCCAGAAACGGCGAGACUAGAGUUCUGGAGAGGGUCGUGGAAUUCCCGGUGUAGCGGUGAAAUGCGUAGAGAUCGGGAGGAACACCAGAGGCGAAAGCGGCGACCUGGACAGAUACUGACACUCAACUGCGAAAGCGUGGGGAGCAAACAGG
rnacentral:rRNA from 1 species